AUUGAACGCUGGCGGCGUGCUUUACACAUGCAAGUCGAACGGCAGCACGGGAGCAAUCCUGGUGGCGAGUGGCAAACGGGUGAGUAAUACUUCGGAACGUACCUUUUAGUGGGGGAUAACUACUCGUAAGAGUGGCUAAUACCGCAUAUGUCUAUGGAUGAAAGCGGGGGAUCGUAAGACCUCGCGCUCAUUGAGCGGCCGAAGCAAGAUUAGGUAGUUGGUAGGGUAAAGGCCUACCAAGCCUGCGAUCUUUAGCUGGUCUGAGAGGACGAUCAGCCACACUGGGACUGAGACACGGCCCAGACUCCUACGGGAGACAGCAGUGGGGAAUUUUGGACAAUGGGGGCAACCCUGAUCCAGCAACGCCGCGUGAGUGAAGAAGGCCUUCGGGUUGUAAAGCUCUUUUGUUAGGGAAGAAAUCUUCUAGGCUAAUACCCUGGGAGGAUGACGGUACCUAAAGAAUAAGCACCGGCUAACUACGUGCCAGCCGCCGCCGUAA
rnacentral:rRNA from 1 species